CAGUCCUCCGUGGGGUGGAAAGGUGUCCCGAAAGAGCCAUUGAUGGAAAUGAUGCUAGCAUAUAUGGAAAGGGAUCCUGUACACACACAUCACUACAAACCAAACCCUGGUGGAGACUGGACCUCCUAAAGAUAUAUAAAAUCAACACUGUCACCAUCACCAACAGAAAAGACUGUUGCCAUGAAAGGAUAAAUGGUUGCUGAGAUCCACGUUGGAAAUUCCCUCAAUGACAAUGGCAACGCCAAUCCCAGAUGUGCUGUUAUCUCAUCUAUCGCAGCUGGGAGCUCAACAACAUUUGUUUGCAAUGGAAUGGAAGGCCAGUAUGUAAACAUUGUGAUUCCUGGAGGAAAAAAAUACCUGACACUGUGUGAGGUGGAAGUCACUGGUCAACCUUCUGGAAACACUGCUCCAGCUGCUAAUAUUGCUAAAGGUGGAAAAGUGACUCAGUCCUCCGUGGGGUGGAAAGGUGUCCCCGAAAGAGCCAUUGAUGGAAAUGAUGCUAGCAUAUAUGGAAAGGGAUCCUGUACACACACAUCACUACAAACCAAACCCUGGUGGAGACUGGACCUCCUAAAGAUAUAUAAAAUCAACACUGUCACCAUCACCAACAGAAAAGACUGUUGCCAUGAAAGGAUAAAUGGUGCUGAGAUCCACGUUGGAAAUUCCCUCAAUGACAAUGGCAACGCCAAUCCCAGAUGUGCUGUUAUCUCAUCUAUCGCAGCUGGGAGCUCAACAACAUUUGUUUGCAAUGGAAUGGAAGGCCAGUAUGUAAACAUUGUGAUUCCUGGAGGAAAAAAAUACCUGACACUGUGUGAGGUGGAAGUCACUGGUCAACCUUCUGGAACCACUGCUCCAACUGCUAAUAUUGCUAAAGGUGGAAAAGUGACUCAGUCCUCCGUGGGGUGGAAAGGUGUCCCCGAAAGAGCCAUUGAUGGAAAUGAUGCUAGCAUAUAUGGAAAGGGAUCCUGUACACACACAUCACUACAAACCAAACCCUGGUGGAGACUGGACCUCCUAAAGAUAUAUAAAAUCAACACUGUCACCAUCACCAACAGAAAAGACUGUUGCCAUGAAAGGAUAAAUGGUGCUGAGAUCCACGUUGGAAAUUCCCUCAAUGACAAUGGCAAUGCCAAUCCCAGAUGUGCUGUUAUCUCAUCUAUCACAGCUGGGAGCUCAACAACAUUUGUUUGCAAUGGAAUGGAAGGCCAGUAUGUAAACAUUGUGAUUCCUGGAGGAAAAAAAUACCUGACACUGUGUGAGGUGGAAGUCACUGGUCAACCUUCUGGAACCACUGCUCCAACUGCUAAUAUUGCUAAAGGUGGAAAAGUGACUCAGUCCUCCGUGGGGUGGAAAGGUGUCCCCGAAAGAGCCAUUGAUGGAAAUGAUGCUAGCAUAUAUGGAAAGGGAUCCUGUACACACACAUCACUACAAACCAAACCCUGGUGGAGACUGGACCUCCUAAAGAUAUAUAAAAUCAACACUGUCACCAUCACCAACAGAAAAGACUGUUGCCAUGAAAGGAUAAAUGGUGCUGAGAUCCACGUUGGAAAUUCCCUCAAUGACAAUGGCAACUGCCAAUCCCAGAUGUGCUGUUAUCUCAUCUAUCGCAGCUGGGAGCUCAACAACAUUUGUUUGCAAUGGAAUGGAAGGCCAGUAUGUAAACAUUGUGAUUCCUGGAGGAAAAAGAUACCUGACACUGUGUGAGGUGGAAGUCACUGGUCAACCUUCUGGAAACACUGCUCCAGCUGCUAAUAUUGCUAAAGGUGGAAAAGUGACUCAGUCCUCCGUGGGGUGGAAAGGUGUCCCCGAAAGAGCCAUUGAUGGAAAUGAUGCAAGCAUAUAUGGAAAGGGAUCCUGUACACACACAUCACUACAAACCAAACCCUGGUGGAGACUGGACCUCCUAAAGAUAUAUAAAAUCAACACUGUCACCAUCACCAACAGAAAAGACUGUUGCCAUGAAAGGAUCAAUGGUGCUGAGAUCCACGUUGGAAAUUCCCUCAAUGACAAUGGCAACGCCAAUCCCAGAUGUGCUGUUAUCUCAUCUAUCGCAGCUGGGAGCCUCAACAACAUUUGUUUGCAAUGGAAUGGAAGGCCAGUAUGUAAACAUUGUGAUUCCUGGAGGAAAAAAAUACCUGACACUGUGUGAGGUGGAAGUCACCGGGACAGAAUCAGAUGCAGAUGAUCCCAUUGAAUAUGCUUGCGACUGAAUCUGAAAUAUUUCUUCAUGCUCAUGUCCACUUAAUUUUAAAGCUAAUCAAACAUAUUUCUGCUUAUUUUCCUUCACUACAACAUUUAAAGGUAUGCUAAAUUAAUAUUAAUAUUGUUUAUCUAAUUUUAGGUGACCUUAAUGAUAAACAUCACACACACUCACAUACUAAAGUUAUUCACAAAAAAAUAAUUGUGUAUCUGUUAGGCAAAGGAUUUAUCUAGAUAUAGACUAGCCUAGAUGAAGGUACGGAAAAACACCGUGACUAAUGGACAUAGUGGUUUUUAAUUGUAAUCUAUACAAUGUUUUAAAAACAAACUAAGAAAAAAACAAAUGUGUUCCCCUUAACUCAACAAUUAGAAUGUGCAAUCUUUAAAAUAAAAUGUAAGUGAAAUGUAACCCCUGGGUGACUGAUAAUUAAAUGGUGGUUACUGGUGAUGGUGUUCGUUAUAUUUAACAUGUUAAGCUCCAUACAUAUUGUGUAAAUGGUGAUGGUUUCAGCUUGUGGUCAUGUUUGUUUCCAAGAGAAAAGCCCUUAAGAAAGCUCUAAAGUCUACCUGGUCUAAGAAUCUGGUAUUGUGUGGUUUCUAUUUUUUCAUUGGCUUGUGUCAUAGGUUUGAUUCACUGUGUACUCCAAUUGCAAAACAAAAAAAUAAACGUUUCUUUUGAACUCCA